CUUCAAACAGGCCCUUCUUAAUAUGUCCAUCACGACAGGCCAUCACUCCAUCUAAAAUUAACAAUGACAGCUUGAGAAGUCAUUUCAUCACCUGAAUUUCAGUGAAACAAAGUCAUCACAGAAAGACAGCAGCAGUCUCAGCCUUGGCUGGCAAGUAUUGACUGGUGCCACUGCUGGGCAGCCAGUAUGCAGGACACAGCUAACUGUGGCACCUCGGCACCUUCCGACCUUCUAAAGCUACCUAGAGGAGUCAACAGAUUCCUAAGCUAUACACCAGCAAUAGAGCCAAGACUUGUGUGUAGGAAGAUACAACUUGCCUUCACAAGAUGAAAAUCAAUGAUGACAUCACCACACAUCAAAUUCACAGGUAACACAAAGCCACAGUCAUCUGACUACAGACAAGGAGUCCUUUAAACAGAAUCAGAGGAAACAAAAGAUAUGGGGAAUGUUCACAGGGCCUCACUAUGUAUCCAAGGCUAGCCUCUACCUCAUGACAAGCCUCCUGUUCCAGCCUCUCAAGGGACAAAGAUAACUUUACCUUUGGCAUGCCAUGUUUCUACAGCGUUCCUUCUUUCCUCAAUGGAGCCACCUGCUACUGCCUUGCUAACAAUGGCUCAGAAGACACAUCUAAGGUCUGAAGUCAAAGCCUGCAGCAAUCUUGCUGCCUCACAGAAGCCAGGAGCCAUCCGGUCUACAGGGAGCACAUCUAGGUGGCACCUUUAGCAGUAUGCAUGCCAAUGGUCUGGAAACUAUGUAUCGUAAGUGUGCUCUCAGCCCAAAGGCAAGGUAAAUAUGGCACAGAGGACUGAGGCACAAUGGACAGAAUGGAACUUCAACAAACAAUGGCUUCAGAAAGCAGCAAGACUUGGCAGUUUGUUUCUGGUGUUUGCUAGCUACCUGUACAUACAAUGUCACCAUGCUAUGCAUCAGACCCUGUUGUGACAGCUUCCAGAUUCUGAAGCAUGAUGCUCCAGCACACAGCUCAGAUGGGGCUCAAGUAAUGACUAAAGUGCACAUGGGCUGAAUACUGGGAAAGCAAUAAAUAGUCUUAGAGUUCAA